GUAUAGUGGGAAGAUUUAUAGGUAGAGGCGACAAACCUAUCGAGCCUGGUGAUAGCUGGUUGUCCAAGAUAGAAUCUUAGUUCAACUUUAAAUUUACCUACAGAACCUUCUAAAUCCCCUUGUAAAUUUAACUGUUAGUCCAAAGAGGAACAGCUCUUUGGACACUAGGAAAAAACCUUGUAAAGAGAGUAAAAAAUUUAAU
rnacentral:lncRNA from 1 species